rnacentral:rRNA from 1 species
UACGGAGGGAGCCUAGCGUUGUUCGGAAUUGACUAGGGGCGUAAAGCGCACGUAGGCGGCUUUGUAAGUUAGAGGUGAAAGCCCGGGGACUCAACCCCUGGAAUUGCCUUUAAGACUGCAUCGCUUGAAUCCGGGAGAGGUUGAGUGGAAUUCCGAGUGAUAGAGGUGAAAUUCGUAGAUAUUCGGAAGAACACCAGUGGCGAAGGCGGCUCACUGGACCGGUAUUGACGCUGAGGUGCGAAAGCGGUGGGGAGCAAACAGG